UACGGGGUUCUCACCCUCUGUGACUCCUGUUCCAAGGAACUUAUACCAGGGCCGCCCCCGAAACAUCCUCUCCAAAUUACAACUCGGGCCCUGAAAGGGCCAGAUUUCAAAUUUGAGCUGUUGCCGCUUCCCUCGCCGUUACUGAGGCAAACCCUGUUGGUUUCUUUUCCUCCCCCUAUUGAUAUGGAAAA
rnacentral:rRNA from 1 species